UAAAGCUUGUUUCCUGUUAUUAAUUGAUUCAAAAUUUGGAAGUUUUGUUUAGAGGAUGAAAAAUUCCAAAAGGAUGCUGAUGGAAAGAAACCAAAUGCAAAUACAUCAGUUGGCUCUGUAAGGUGAUUUAUGAAUAAGAUUUGGAAGACUUUCUUUUCAGAAAUCAGAUCAGGUCCAAGAGACCAAAAACAUGGAUGUGCAAAGCUGCAGAGCUGUAAACGUUUGAAAUGGUGACUGGCCAACAGAAAGUCAAGUAUAUUGGAACACAAGCAGCGGUGUUCGCGUCAUGCCUAGAGAUAACGGGGGCUUUGGAAUGUGCGCUGUCAAAUGAAAGGAGUUUUUUUUUCUUGUUGUGUGCCUGAGAACGAGGUGAUCUGGGUCUUUUGUACGGUGAGAGAUGAAGAGAGAAGAUGCCAGAAAGGAGACGUCGUAGGCAGCAGGACGGAAUGGACUUGGAGUGGGGCCAGGAGUUGACGAAGCCCAGGGAAAUCGAUGGAGGGGAAACCGUGAACUCCAACACGCACAUUAGACUUGCAUUAAAAUGGGUCCUUUUUGAUUUACUUUA